AUGGGUUGUCAAUUUCUUAAUAUUUAAAACAAAUUUCGCUGAGGCAAAGUGGGCGUGGAUUUCGAUGUUCGCUGUUCGCGGGAAUGGUUUAAAGGAAAACUCAAAUUGGGCUAAUCUAGAAACUCGUGGAGAGAAAUAAUAGGAUUAAAAAAUUUUUUGAAAAAUUUAAAGUUUAUUAUUAUAAUAAGCUUUGUUUUUUGAAGAAUAAAGUUUAUUGUUAUUUAUUUUUUAAAACUUUUAAAGUUUAUAAAAUUAAACUUAUAACAAUAAACUUCUAACAAUCCUUUAUUGACUCUCGCUGCAAAAUUAAUUUGGCUUCUGGCAAUUGUCAGGAAUUUAGCCGAUUAUAACUUUUGUGAAUUUAUAAUUAUAAUUAAUUAUUGACAUUCUUUUGCAAAGGAUAUUUAGAUAUGUUAUCAGCUGUCAUUAAUUUUUAAUUUUCGACUUUUAUUUCGGGAUUUUGAAUUCUAAAAUUAUCAAUGUAAUCAUUAUUAA
rnacentral:misc_RNA from 1 species